AGGUAAAAGAUAUGUUCGAAUGGAAAUAAGGGCAGAGGAGAAACAAAACACAGAGAGAGAGAGAGAGAGAGAGAGAGAGAGAGCUUCAAUGGAGGAAGACGAUGAAGUGAAGCAAAGAAGUAAACUUGAAGAGAAACAUUCUGAUGAAAGAAGAGAAGAAGAAACAGAAAUGGAUUGUCCCUCGCAUCAUCCCCCGCCUCCACCUGGUGAGUUGUUCGACCUUGAUACUACAGUUGAUCCUAGCUAUGUAAUCUCACUGAUAAGGAAACUCCUUCCUAUCGAUUCGGGAAGUGAAGAAUGUGAUCAAAGCACCGAGUUAAGGCAUAUGAAUGCCAACAAUGCGGUUCAAGCUCGGUCUGGAGAUGGGUUUGUGGAUGCUGCUUCUAAGGGUGAUCCAGAGAGCAUGGACAUUGGAGGUAACCGUAAAGAUUCCACUUCCGAGGAGAAGGACAAGGCGAGUUCAUCAGUGGAAGAGGCAUGGGAAGAGCAUGGUUGCGUUUUGUGGGAUCUUGCCGCCAAUGAAACCCAUGCUGAGCUUAUGGUACAGAACCUCAUUUUACAAGUGCUUCACGCAAACCUUCUAGUUUCAACAUCUGACCGCAUUCGAGAAAUAUCUCUCGGGAUUAUUGGGAACCUUGCUUGCCAUGAAGGUCUGUUGAAACACAUUGAGUCUACAUCCGGACUCGUCAAUACACUUGUGGGGCAGCUGUUUCUCGAUGAUACUCAAUGCCUAACUGAAGUUUGCAGGAUACUCACCACAGGUCUCUAUGGACCUGGAUGCAAUUUUUGGGCCGAGUGUUUGCAGUCUGAUGAUAUACUACGCCGUAUUUUGUGGAUUGCGGAAAAUACCUUGAAUCCUCAUCUUAUUGACAAGAGUGUAGGGCUAUUGUUAGCUAUCUUAGAAGAUCAAUCAGAGGUUGGGAAGCUACUGAUCCCUCCACUAAUGACUCUAGGUUUGACGAGUCUGUUGAUCAAUCUUUUUUCCUUCGAAAUGAGCAAGUUGAUCAAAGAAAGAGUUCCAGAAAGGUACUCCGUUCUUGAAAUGAUUCUCCGAGCUGUUGAAGCCCUUUCUGCUUCAGAUACUCAUUCUAAAGAGAUUUGCUCUAGCAAACAACUUUUUCACUUAGUCUGUGAUCUUAUGAAACUUCAGGCCAAAGCCGAGGUGGCAGCAUGUUGUGUUACUGCAGGAGUUUUAGUCGCAAAUAUUCUGUCGGAAACAGUCAGUUUCAUUCAAGAAGUAUCGCAAGAUUUUUCUUUCUUGGAAGGUUUAUUCAGUACUUUACCAUUUGCUUCGGAUGACGUAGAAGCAAGAAGAGCUCUUUGGAGCGUUAUUGCUAGGUUACUUGCCAGAGUUAAUGAGUCUGAGAUAGACGCAUCUUGUAUGAGACGGUACAUAUUGGUUUUCCUAAGGAACUCAGAUAUUAUAGAAGAUGAUCUUCUUGAUAUCCAACUAGAAGAAGAUCCAAAAGAGGAGUCUCUAAACUCAUUCCCUUCCCAGGGAAAGUCAAGCGCGCGAAGGAUUGCUUGAUAACAGAUACAAAAGAUUGAGUCGAUGUUGAACAAUUGGAAUAUUCGCAAGGAGGAAAGCAUGAAUGGGGACUGCUCUGUAAACACAGCUGAUGUUAAAAGACUAUAUGAUUGCUGUCAAAGAUAUAUCAAAUCAGUUGAAGGGUCUUAACUCAUGGGGAAUAUUUCGCUUAUAAGUUCUCAAUCUUCUCUGUCUUUCAUGGUCAACCAAGGCAUCAUCACAUAUUGACACAUGAAGUCGCAAGCUUUAAGAAAUCGCCGACCCAGUGAGCUUUUGAACAGACAUAUGUUCAGGUUAGAACUUGCCUGUGUGUUCUCAUAGUCAUAGAUCACUUAAGACACUGUCUGAUAAAAUGUAAACCAGAGAAAGAGAUUAGGGAAAAAAACUCAAAUUUUCAGAACGAGAAGAUUCAGAGUCUCUAGA